UAUAUUAAGUUGUUGCGGUUAAAAAGCUCGUAGUUGGAUUUCUGUUGAGGACGGCCGGUCCGCACUAUGUGCGUGUAUCUGGUUCGGCCUUGGCAUCCUCUUGAGGAACGUUCCUGCGCUUGAUUGCGUGGGGCGGUAUUCAAGACUUUUACUUUGAGGAAAUUAGAGUGUUCACGGCAGGCAAGCGCCUUGAAUACAUUAGCAUGGAAUAAUAAUAUAGGAUCUUGGUUCUAUUUGUUGGUUUCUAGGGCUAAGGUAAUGAUUAAUAGGGAUAAUUGGGGGCAUUUGUAUUAACGCGUCAGAGGUGGAAUUCUUGGAUUGCGUUACGACAAACUACUGCGAAAGCAUUUGCCAAGGAUGUUUUCAUUGAUCAAGAACGAAAGUAUGGGGAUCGAAGAUGAUUAGAUACCGUCGUAGUCUAUACCAUAAACUAUGCCGACUAGGGAUUGGAGGUCGUUCUUUUUAUGACUCCUUCAGCACCUUAUGAGAAAUCAAAGUCUUUGGGUUCCGGGGGGAGUAUAGUCGCAAGGCUGAAACUUAAAGGAAUUGACGGAAGGGCACCACCAGGAGUGGAGCCUGCGGCUUAAUUUGACUCAACACGGGGAAACUCACCAGGUCCAGACAUAGUAAGGAUUGACAGAUUGAUAGCUCUUUCUUGAUUCUAUGGGUGGUGGUGCAUGGCCGUUCUU
rnacentral:rRNA from 1 species